ACAGAGGGUGCAAGCGUUGUUCGGAAUUAUUGGGCGUAAAGCGCGUGUAGGCGGCAGAGCAUGUCGGGUGUGAAAGCCCUCGGCUUAACCGAGGAAGUGCGCCCGAAACUGCUCCGCUGGAGUGCUGGAGAGGGUAGCGGAAUUCCCGGUGUAGAGGUGAAAUUCGUAGAUAUCGGGAGGAACACCAGUGGCGAAGGCGGCUACCUGGACAGACACUGACGCUGAGACGCGAAAGCGUGGGGAGCAAACAGGAUUAGAUACCCUGGUAGUCCACGCUGUAAACGAUGGCAACUAGGUGUGGCGGGUGUUGACCCCUGCCGUGCCGAAGCUAACGCAUUAAGUUGCCCGCCUGGGAAGUACGGCCGCAAGGUUA
rnacentral:rRNA from 1 species